UGGUGCUUUGUGUUAAAUGUGGAUUAUACUGUGUUAAACUCUCAAAAUGGACUCUGAUCAAAGUAUGAACUUCAAACCCAAAAGUUCUUAUUUUCUAUGUUUAGUAACCAGAAGAGAAAUCAUGUAGGCAUUUCUUUUCCUCUAUUUUCUGGAUCAAUGAUGCAUGUCAACUGUUGUCUCACCGUUCUAGUAGGUUGCUACUAUUGUGCACAUAGUUUCUCAAGAUUAAUUAUCUAUCUGGAAGUUUCAGUGUUGAUAUAGCACACAGUUAUCUUAUAGAAAGGGGUAAUACUUAUAUUGCUGCCUUUGGUAAUUGAUACUGGCAUUUCUCGUAUCAUAAUUGGACUUUGGUAAUUGAUAAUAUACAAGUUAUAGAAUUGGAACAGCAAUCAACGGUAGAACGAGGGAAGAUGGUAUUUCUUUUUUUGUAAUAAUAAACAGUAAGAAGUCUAUACAGUUUCUUUCUUAUUUAUAGCCACCAUUUAAAUUUAAUUAUAAUUAUAAAACGACGUAUGCAUAUCUAUAAUUGCAUUUAAUCCAAGUCCUAAAUUCUAUUAGAACAAGCCCAAUGUGAUCGCACUAGUUCCAUGAGUUCUGCUAUGAGAUUGAGGUAAUUUUAUUGAGCUUUCUUAAUGGAAGAAAUUGAUAACUAAGGAACUUCUGUAAUGAAUUUAUGUUUUCUAUGGGGCUGAGAAAACUGUGGACAUGUUUAUGUGUAUUUGAAAUUUCAGGCUGGUCACUUCAAUUCCUUGGUGUUUUUCGCAUGCUCAAGCAAUUUACAAUACGCCAAACUAUUUAACAUACUUAUGAUGCUAUUGUUAUGUUUUUGGUCUUCACAACUUAAGGAUACAGUUUUACAUCCUAUAAAACAGAUCCUGUUCAAGUAAGGUUGUUAUUAUAUUUUUGGUAUUGUAAAGCGAUGAAAGGACUUUUAAGACAUGUUGGCGAUUCGAGAUUUAUUAUCUUGGAGUAGAAAUGUUAAAGCUGUAGAUAUUGUUUUCUUGAAUUGCUAGUUUGUCUGGAAGAUUAAGGUUCUUCCUUGCAACUGUUUUUUUUUUCCUUCGAGUAUAUUUUAUUCCCUUUUUAUCUUCUUGCAUCUCGAUUUUUAGUUAUUGGUCAAUAUAUUCGUGUUUUGUUUUAUAUUUUUUAAUAAGACUAUUGAGCAAUAUUAUUUAAUCAAACUUUUUAAAGAGUUGAAAUUGUGUUAUUUCUUUUGAGCUUAUCAAUGCUAUCCUAUCCCUUUCCCCAGAAAACUAGUUGUAAGUCCUUUCAAUGUCCUUAUCAUCUGUCUAAAAGUGUGCUGUCUAUUUCAUUUUCUUUUCAUGUUUUUCAUUUCAUCUGAUGUAAAUCCUAAUCUGUGUGCUUUUUGGACUUCUUGAAAGCUAUUGCAUAGAAAAAUGGAAGAAGUUUCUCUAAACUCCAUUAUCUUGAAUUUCAUAUUAGUUUCCCAUCAGAUCAAGAUUGAUGUUUAUAUUUUUGGUCAUAUCAUUUGUAGUUCUCUGUAAGAUAGAGAUAUUUCUCUUGUUCCUGUUUAGCAGUUUCACUUCAAAUUCCCGUUCAACAAGUUUAUAAUAGCACGUUUGUGCAAAGGAAAUUGCUUGGAAAAUUGCACAUAUUGCUGCUAUGUCUUAUCAAUUGCUCACCUGCAUAUAGUACAUUUGUCCCUUUACAUAAACAUAUCCUUUGGUAGUAAUCAGGUAACAGUGUGACUUUUUUCUUUUUUAUCUUUUGUGUACACAGAAUAGAAUAGCAUUUAAUAUAUAUAUAUAUAUUGAAUUCUUGAUGCAUUUGCACAGAACUAUCAUUUACUUCGGUCUAGUAGAAUUUAGAUUGCAACCUUUCCAACUCUUCUGUCAAGCUAGAUUGUUCAAAGGGCAUGAAAGAAAUGUGAACUUAGAGUCUCACCUUGAAGUUCGACAUCAGCAUGGAUGCAAAAAGCUUAUCUGCAGUUCAUCAGAUGGUUCAAGUUGACCGCAAGCCUGCAAUGCUUAGCUUCUUUGGACAGCCAAGUCAUAUAAACGAGCUUUAAUAGACCAUCUUUUUGAUCUGGCCUAACAUGAUCCCUCCGCGCAGCAGAAUGGAGAUGUUGCAGGGAUCGAGUAAUACAACUUGAAUUUUAUUGUUCAUCUGUGACAGUCUUUUCCUAGAGAAAGAAAUAUGAAGUUUAAAUUCUAUCUUUUAACAUUGGUUGCGCAUGGCAUGGAAAUCGGGACAGACAUGCAAGUACAAGAAAUUGUGUAAGUUUAUUUAUUGGCUUUUGCGUUUCUUUUGUUUCUUUGUUUUUUUUUCUUUUUUCACCUUCAGAUUUUUUUCUAUAUGUAGAAGUGUAUUACUAUGGGCAGGAGCUUCCCAUGGAAGGUUUCUGGAAGUUUCUUCAUAUGCUUUGUUUUCCAUUCUUACUGGUUUUUUAUUCUAUAUUGGGCUCCUAUAAGGCCCAUUCCUGAAUAGAGCAGCAACUAAACUCCUGGUCUUGCUCUUCUGUUCAAUAAUUAUUUCUAAGAAUGAAAUAACAUUUUUGGAUGCAAUGUUUUGAAAUCGUUCAGCAUAAUCAUUCUCUCGGCAAUUAUUGUCUUUUGAGGAUUAAAGAAUCUAUUUCUUUUCAAUCUCUCAUUUUCUGUUCUCCGGUUUGGUUUAUAAGAGUCACAGAGUAAGAUUGCAUAUUUCUAAUUGUUUGAGUAAGAUUUGCUGCCUAUAAUUAUAGUUUCUGUCGCAGGGUGCAAGUGUUGGAACUACAAAGACAUGCAACAGUUAAAAUUGUCAACCAUUCUUCUUAGCAUGGAGUAUCCCUCUCAUUUAUUAGUUGUGAAAUUGAUUUUUACUUCUCUUGAAGAAACUUGCCACCUAUAAUCUAAAUUAAAUUUGCAUAUUCAAAUUAUUUUUACCAUUGAGAAUUUUGGGGUUUUUAGGAAUAUUUGGCCUUAUUGCCGUGAAUUGAAUAUCAAUUCUUACUGCCUUAGAUUACUUCAAAUUUUAGUGAGAUUCACCCCAGACCAAGUGCGUGAGACAAUCCAUGCAGGACAGUAGGAAAAUAUAAGUUUCCUGUACAUUUAUCUUCUGCUUUUAUUGAGUUAAUUUAAUUUAGAUGAUGUGGGCUGUGAAAAGAUACAACAUUGAGAGCCAUCAUCAGUUUUUUGACAAACUAGUAGUGGUUGGCGCACACAUUUCGAAUUCUUGUCUAGGUACUUCUAAUCCUUACCUUCCACCAGAUGAACGCGGAUGAACGGCACACUUCACCGAAGAAAGAGCUGUGUGGGGGCAUUUUCAAGUUGUGCUAAGAUGCAUUUGAAAUGGGGCCAACAUUCUCUCUCAUACCCCAUGUCUCUUUGCACCACCUCACCAACCGGGCACAGUUUCAAAUAUCUAUUGGUCAAACACAAUGCGAUGGAAAGGAAAAACAUGCUUAUAUCUAUAUGUUCUGUAACACUGCCAGACAGACUGGUGUUCGUGCUGUAAGGACCCACUGACUAUCCUAUCAAGCGACAAGAAGCGAUGGGCUGAAAGGAACCAGAAACAAAUAUUAUAUGAAUUCCAAGCACUUAGCUUAGCGAUGGAAAAUCGUUGCUUUGGAAUCACUAAACACUUUCUUGUCAUCUUCAUGAUUUUUAAAUCUCCUUUUGGUCCAUCAUGUCAGCAUAAACACGUGGAUAACCUGAAGUCACUGUAGUUGACUGAAAAGAUUCAAUGUUAAUCAUAAAUCUUUGGGGGCACUCUUGGCAAGGGACUAUGCACUCAAGCACACAGUGAAGAAUAAAAGUGUACCAAUAGAGCACCUUAUCUCAAUAAGUAAUUGGCAAGGGGAGGCAGGCCAUCAUUUGUAAUAAUGCUGAUGAUGAUCCUGUUGUCGAGGAAAACAUGCAUGGAAUGAACUACGUGUCGAUAUGAGGCAAAUUAGCUUCAAGGGAAUGGAGAGAGACUGGAAAGCAUCACAGAAAUUAAUCAACAGGUUAAAGCUGAGAGACCAUCAAAUCUGCCAUGAAUUGAAAGCUACGUGUCAAUUUUUGGUUAGUUCUAUUUUAAUUCUUAUUCAUCUUUCAAUAAAGCUUAGAUUUAGUCACUAUGAUAGUUUUUUUUGUUCAUUU